UAAGGUAAGUUCUUUUUAUUAUUCCGUACAAAGUUUUGUUUCAAUCAUGUUUCGAUGACCAUUAACGCUGCCUUGUUUAUUUUUUAGCAACAGUGAUUUCGGGAAAAAUAAAGAACUGAAAUUAAGAAAACUGAACUAAAUGAAGAAAAUCAUGUUGGACUGAAGCCAUCCCGAUUCCAGUAGCAGUCCCGUAGCUCUUUCUCGCUAACGAAGAAGGUGACGCUGUACAUUUUCAAUAAGGAAUACCUAAAAAUCUGGAUAAACCCGAAGAUAUGAGCCCGAGGAUGUUUGACUAUAUGACAGUGGCAUUGCUCAAGAACCUAGCCCAAAACUUGAACGAGGAUGGACCAGAAACAAUGACAAUGUACUCUGCGAGAUUUGUGGGCAAUUUUGUAUGUCAAUAUGAUAAGAAAUUAAAUCAAUCGUGAAAACGA